rnacentral:rRNA from 1 species
UACAGGGGGUGCAAACGUUGCUCGGAAUCAUUGGGCGUAAAGCGCACGUAGGCGGUCUGUUAUGUCGGAUGUGAAAGCCCUCGGCUUAACUGAGGAAGUGCAUCCGAAACUGGCAGGCUAGAGUACGAAAGAGGGUCGCGGAAUUCCGGGUGUAGUGGUGGAAUGCGUAGAGAUCCGGAGGAACACCAGCGGCGAAGGCGGCAUCCUGGACUGGUCCUGACACUCAGGAGCGAAAGCGUGGGGAGCGAUCCGG